GGCCGCAAGGUUAAAACUCAAAUGAAUUGACGGGGGCCCGCACAAGCGGUGGAGCAUGUGGUUUAAUUCGAUGCAACGCGAAGAACCUUACCUACUCUUGACAUCCAGAGAAUUCGCUAGAGAUAGCGUAGUGCCUUCGGGAACUCUGAGACAGGUGCUGCAUGGCUGUCGUCAGCUCGUGUUGUGAAAUGUUGGGUUAAGUCCCGCAACGAGCGCAACCCUUAUCCUUUGUUGCCAGCACGUAAUGGUGGGAACUCAAAGGAGACUGCCGGUGAUAAACCGGAGGAAGGUGGGGAUGACGUCAAGUCAUCAUGGCCCUUACGAGUAGGGCUACACACGUGCUACAAUGGCAUAUACAAAGAGAAGCAAACUCGCGAGAGCAAGCGGACCUCAUAAAGUAUGUCGUAGUCCGGAUUGGAGUCUGCAACUCGACUCCAUGAAGUCGGAAUCGCUAGUAAUCGUAGAUCAGAAUGCUACGGUGAAUACGUUCCCGGGCCUUGUACACACCGCCCGUCACACCAUGGGAGUGGGUUGCAAAAGAAGUAGGUAGCUUAACCUUCGGGAGGGCGCUUACCACUUUGUGAUUCAUGACUGGGGUGAAGUCGUAACAAGGUAACCGUAGGGGAACCUGCGGUUGGAUCACCUCCUUACCUCAA
rnacentral:rRNA from 1 species